AGUCGAGCGAACAGAUAAGGAGCUUGCUCCUUUGACGUUAGCGGCGGACGGGUGAGUAACACGUGGGUAACCUACCUAUAAGACUGGGAUAACUUCGGGAAACCGGAGCUAAUACCGGAUAACAUUUGGAACCGCAUGGUUCUAAAGUGAAAGAUGGUUUUGCUAUCACUUAUAGAUGGACCCGCGCCGUAUUAGCUAGUUGGUAAGGUAACGGCUUACCAAGGCAACGAUACGUAGCCGACCUGAGAGGGUGAUCGGCCACACUGGAACUGAGACACGGUCCAGACUCCUACGGGAGGCAGCAGUAGGGAAUCUUCCGCAAUGGGCGAAAGCCUGACGGAGCAACGCCGCGUGAGUGAUGAAGGGUUUCGGCUCGUAAAACUCUGUUAUUAGGGAAGAACAAACGUGUAAGUAACUGUGCACGUCUUGACGGUACCUAAUCAGAAAGCCACGGCUAACUACGUGCCAGCAGCCGCGGUAAUACGUAGGUGGCAAGCGUUAUCCGGAAUUAUUGGGCGUAAAGCGCGCGUAGGCGGUUUCUUAAGUCUGAUGUGAAAGCCCACGGCUCAACCGUGGAGGGUCAUUGGAAACUGGGAAACUUGAGUGCAGAAGAGGAAAGUGGAAUUCCAUGUGUAGCGGUGAAAUGCGCAGAGAUAUGGAGGAACACCAGUGGCGAAGGCGACUUUCUGGUCUGUAACUGACGCUGAUGUGCGAAAGCGUGGGGAUCAAACAGGAUUAGAUACCCUGGUAGUCCACGCCGUAAACGAUGAGUGCUAAGUGUUAGGGGGUUUCCGCCCCUUAGUGCUGCAGCUAACGCAUUAAGCACUCCGCCUGGGGAGUACGACCGCAAGGUUGAAACUCAAAGGAAUUGACGGGGACCCGCACAAGCGGUGGAGCAUGUGGUUUAAUUCGAAGCAACGCGAAGAACCUUACCAAAUCUUGACAUCCUUUGAAAACUCUAGAGAUAGAGCCUUCCCCUUCGGGGGACAAAGUGACAGGUGGUGCAUGGUUGUCGUCAGCUCGUGUCGUGAGAUGUUGGGUUAAGUCCCGCAACGAGCGCAACCCUUAAGCUUAGUUGCCAUCAUUAAGUUGGGCACUCUAGGUUGACUGCCGGUGACAAACCGGAGGAAGGUGGGGAUGACGUCAAAUCAUCAUGCCCCUUAUGAUUUGGGCUACACACGUGCUACAAUGGACAAUACAAAGGGCAGCUAAACCGCGAGGUCAUGCAAAUCCCAUAAAGUUGUUCUCAGUUCGGAUUGUAGUCUGCAACUCGACUACAUGAAGCUGGAAUCGCUAGUAAUCGUAGAUCAGCAUGCUACGGUGAAUACGUUCCCGGGUCUUGUACACACCGCCCGUCACACCACGAGAGUUUGUAACACCCGAAGCCGGUGGAGUAACCAUUUAUGGAGCUAGC
rnacentral:rRNA from 1 species